CUGUUUUCCCUAAACAAAACGGGUAUUAUGAACCUUUGUUAAACGCUAACAGCUGUUGUGCUUUUCUGAAGGCAUUGUCAUCAUACAGAUUGCCUGAGUUGGUGAUGGAUAUAUGGAGUAUGUCCUUCUGCGAAAAACACAUGCUUAAUAUACUGCACGAUUCUACCCGGCAUCGUGGUGUCCCAGCUUGACGUCGUUCGGUACAGUCAUGGAAACAAUACCAAGACCGCUUUUUGCGUUGUUCAUAUGCAGCCUAUUGGUCAGCGGAACGAUCAUCGACGACAUCGAAGAAGUAUUCAACAAAGUGAAAGGAAAUAUUACUGAAAACAUUCCCAGCACCAAAGUAGUGCCUACUUCUCUCGGUGACAUACUCCGCAAAUUCGGAAUCAAGGCUAACGUUUCACGUUGCCCCUUCGAAGCUGACCUGUGCAUUGUGGAGUGCUACAUAAACAACAGUAAGCCUCUGCGAGGACACUGUGGUGGAUUUCUCUGGACAAAGUGUGUUUGUGAGGAAGAGUAUAGAAAAUAAAUCUCAAAAACUUUUCGGUCA